GGGGUAUACCUUCCACAGUCUCCAGUGAUUGAGAUACUCACUUCAUUGGGCAAAUCACACUUGCCUUAACAAAAACCUCGCAAACUUCUUGGAAUCAGCACUGUUCCUAUCACCUUCAACAUCAGGCAAAGUUGAGAGAACUAAUGGAAAAACUGGAUUCAAGCAGAACAAGAAUUAAUUACAUCAGACUAAAUGAACUAAUGAGGAUAAGCAUAAUUUUUGUGACUUUUUGUUUGAAAUAUUACUUUUUUUAAAUCUUUCGUUUUUCCAGAUUUAAGAAAACCUUUUUUUCCCCCUUCUUUUCUCUUAAGAUAUCUAUGACUUACAGCAAUUUGGUGAAUUAUACCUUUGUAAGCAGAAUUGAAACAAUUACUUUUUCUCCCUACCUUAUCCCUUCAGAAUUCAGAAAUUCUCAGGUUCCUGACAGCCAAACCAGGUGAAUAAAGAAGAUCACUUCCUGGGAGGUGCAAGAACCUCAAGAUAUGUUAGGAGCCUUAAGAAGAGAAGAAUUGACCAAAAUCUACAGGUGUUGCAGGUGGAAUAUUUGGCUUGGCUUCUUAGCCUUGACAAGGUUUUAAAAGUUCGUUCUGGAGACUACUUAUGAAAAGUUCCAGCAAAGCAAAUUUAAAAGAGCCUAUAUGAUCAAUUGUUGUUCUUGCUAUACUUAUGUGAAUACCUAAGCCAAGUUUAUUGAAACUAAACUUAUUUUCAAACAAAUUAGUCUUAAUUUGAUUAUCUUUGAUAAAAAUAAGGGUGAUUUUAUAGAGAAAAAUUAUGUUUCAGUAGAAACCAUAAUACACACUUGUAGAUAUUAGAUUCUAGUGUUGUUAAUACUCUUUGAACUUUUGUGAUUUACCUAAAAACUGCAGUGGAUCCUAAAUUCUUCUGAUUUCCUCAAAUAUUUGACUACAACUCUCCAAACUAACAUUUCCAGUUUUUCUCCCACUUUUGACUUGGAGUCAUUGAGAACCAAAGCUGCCCUUUUCCCUGAAGCCCUCCAAACUAGAGCUGAAUGACUUCACAUGAACUUGAGAGACCACCACACAGCCUGUGUUUAAACAGCCUUCACGCCUGUUGCUGAGUGAGCCACUCAGAAAGUUUACCUAAACACCUGAUGACAUCAUCAGAGACAUUUCAAACUGCAAAAGAUGCUUUGACCCUGACCUCUAGAAAUCUUCUUGACUGGCUGUCCCAUAGGCUCAGAAACUGGUUUAUAAUUUGCUCUAACCACUAAUCAUUAUUUUUCUUUGUUUCCAUAGCAAUGCCUCAUUAAAUCUGAUUGCUUGUGCUAUAGACCUAAUUUUGGGAGCCCACCUGCAUCACUGCCUCAUAAAAUGAGACACAACUGUCUAAUUGAACUGACCUAUUUUCAAGACUAAAAGAUCAAUUCAGUGAAUUAAUGGAACAAUCUACCAUGU
rnacentral:lncRNA from 1 species